ensembl:lncRNA
AGAUAACGUGCAUGGACGCAUGCAUGAGUGUUUUAUUGAAGUAUUCGUGAUUUGAUGGAAAACCAUGUUUGAACUACUAAUGUUGGUUUCCAGUUUACACUGGGUACACUGUGUUUUACAGACUAAAGCAUAUGAAAGAGGUUUUCCCUAGAGUGUGUUUGUUUGACUUAAUAGUUGUUAACAUGUUUGAUAGAGUACAUCAUUAUAAAGAAAUCAGAGUUAAACUUUAGGACAGAAGCAGAAAUGAGUGAAGACACUGUCAGCAGAAUGAAGCAACGUGUGAUGUGAAUAUUUCAAGACAGAAGCCAAGAGAAGGCUGUGUAUAUUUGCUUUGUGGCCUUUUGUAAAAUGUUUGGUUGAUAUUACAUGUGUUUGUAUGUGUGAACAUUCCACAUAGACUAACCAUCUCUUUUUAUUUUUCUUAUACUAUAGUAAUAGUACUGAUGACUUUAUAAAUACAGCUAAUGCAUAUGUCACUUUUAAUUCCCUACAAUUGUUUAUCAGCUUUUUUGAUCACCUUAAGACUCAGAAAUUAGAUUUAUGCAGCAGCCAGUUUCCUGGAAAUGCCUAAUGGACACCCAAAGUGUGUAUGGAACUACACACCAUCGCUCAUGCUGUAACUUGUUAAGUGUCUUUGAAAAGAUGGCCUCUAGUUGUGCUGGUAGAGAAGUGCAACCCCCAGGAAGAUUCAGCUAAAACAUGCACUCCCACCUUCUUUCUGUCAUUCAUCUAUCUAACUUGUUUGCCAAGAAUGUUUUUGUAUUUUAUUUUCACCUGACAAACUCUGUUUCACUUGUAAAUAUUGUAAAUUAAGUUAUUGCUGUUGUUGUACAUAUUGAGCGAUGGGCAUGGAGGGAACAGAAUCCACCUACAUUUCCAAAGAAGGGGGCGCUCUGAUCUACCCAGUGCCUUGAUAAAGGCAUUUUAAAUGUGUCUCACCAAUGACACACAAUUUCAUUGUUUUCUGUGAGCUCUAAUAUUACUGUGUGACUGAGAGUUGCAAUAAAAAAUAAAAAAGUAAAAA